rnacentral:lncRNA from 1 species
UGGAGUGAAACAGUGUUGAGGGCCCCAGGCCCAGGGACAGGCAGCUCUGUGGCUCACACCCUCAUCUGCUGACUCCUCUGGGAGAGACAACGUGAUGGUCCCACCCUUUUUCUGAUCCGCAUGAAUUUGUGAGCCCUGACCUACUUUCAGAAUCAGUUAAAGGCCUAUGAGCAAGGAGAAAAACAAGAGAUGAGGUGGUUACAAGUACACAGAGAAGCCAAAAGAGAUCUGAGGACAUUUUGAGAAGGAGAAACAGAGGUGAACGCAGACACUGGGCCUGGGGUCAGCUGUAUUCACAAGGUCACUCAGGGGCAAAGGAGCAGGGUUUCCUGAUGCUUUUCUAAACAAAGGAGAGCUCAGAAAGUCGCAAAAGAUGGUCACUUUUAACAAGAAAAGGCUAGAGUAUUAUAAAAUUGUGAGGUUUGGCCUAA